rnacentral:lncRNA from 10 species
GGCAGAAGGGACGUCCCCAAAUGACACUCGGAGGCCGCCUCCCUGGGCUCCGGUGCUCGGUGCCGGGAGGAGCGGCACGGCUUUCUACCCCGCCUCAGGUGCGCCAGCACGUUUUCUGGGCAGCAUCUGUGUGUUAGGCGACCGGAGAGGUGGGUUCCUUAUAGGGAAUAAGAAAACUGAAACUGACUUCCAACUGCAGGCAGAAGGAAGCAGUGGUCAUUGCUGGAGGUUAAAACUGUUCUGACCGGGCGCAGUGGCUCACGCCUGUAUUCCCAGCACUUUGGGAGGCUGAGGCGAGCAGAUCACGAAGUCAGGAGAUCAAGACCAUCCUGGCCAACAAGGUGAAACCCCGGCUCUACUAAAAAUACAAAAAUUAGCUGGGCGUGGUGGCGCGCGCCGGAAGUCCCAGCUACUUGGGAGGAUGAGGCAGAAGAAUCGCUUGAACCCGGGAGGCGGAGGUUGCGGUGAGCCGAGAUCGCGCCAUUGCACUCCAGCCUGGCGACUCAGCGAUACUCCGUCCCCCUCUCCCCGCCCCAAGAAAAAUCUGUUCAGUGGGGAGCGACAAGGAAGGAGCUUUCAGCCCGACUGGGGUCGCAGGGAAGAAUUCAAGAUGGCGUGUUUAGGAGCUCUAGCUCCUUGACAAAUUAGUAAAAUGUUAGUCUUAGGAGAAGAACGAAAAGGCUCUCCUAGGCUAAGAAACAGCAUACACAGUGAGAAACCUCAGAAGAAAUAAAAUUCAAGGAAGAUAGCAACAACGAAAACAUCAGAAGGAACACUAAAGUAGUCAAAUCAGCCUAGCAGAAACAAAGUACGUUAACCAAUGGAAAACUGACGGAGAGAAAUAAACUGUUUUUGCACAGCUAAAUGGAAAUGACUUUUGAAUUAUCUGCUUUGGAAGAUUAUCCAUGACACUGUUCUGCCCUGCUCUGCUCUAACAACAUUUGGAUUCACCUACGCUCUUACCAGCUGGAGGGAGUAAA